AAAGGGUGAAGCUUUAUACUCUCAGUGUCUG
rnacentral:piRNA from 1 species